rnacentral:rRNA from 1 species
GGGGGUAAAGCGAGCGCAGGGCGGUUUUCUUAAAGUCUUGAUGUGAAACCCUUUGGCUUAAACCGAAGAAGUGCAUCAGAUACUGGGAAACUUGAGUGCAGAAGAGGGAAGUGGAACUCCAUGUGUAGCGGUGAAAUGCGUAGAUAUAUGGAAGAACACCAGUGGCGAAGGCGGCUUUCUGGUCUGUAACUGACGCUGAGGCUCGAAAGUAUGGAGAGCGAACAAGAGUUAGAUACCCUGGUAGUCCAUACCGUAAACGAUGAAAUGCUAAGUGUUGAGAGGUUUCCGCCCUUCAGUGCUGCAGCUAACGCAUUAAGCAUUCCGCCUGGGGAGUACGACCGCAAGGUUGAAACUCAAAGGAAUUGACGGGGGCCCGCACAAGCGGUGGAGCAUGUGGUUUAAUUCGAAGCUACGCGAAGAACCUUACCAGGUCUUGACAUCUAGCGCCAAUCCUAGAGAUAGGACGUUCCCUUCGGGGACGCUAAGACAGGUGGUGCAUGGUUGUCGUCAGCUCGUGUCGUGAGAUGUUGGGUUAAGUCCCGCAACGAGCGCAACCCUUAUGAUUAGUUGCCAGCAUUUAGUUGGGCACUCUAAUCAGACUGCCGGUGACAAACCGGAGGAAGGUGGGGAUGACGUCAAAUCAGCAUGCCCCUUAUGACCUGGGCUACACACGUGCUACAAUGGCUAGUACAACGAGUUGCGAACCCGCGAGGGUAAGCUAAUCUCUUAAAGCUAGUCUCAGUUCGGAUUGUAGGCUGCAACUCGCCUACAUGAAGUCGGAAUCGCUAGUAAUCGCGGAUCAGCACGCCGCGGUGAAUAAAUUCCCGGGCCU